UUGAUCCACCCCUCAUCUCACCUGUCGGGGCAUGAAUCGGGAGCUGGAGGGGGAAUUGGAAGGUGAGGGGCGCAGCACGGGGCGCCCGGCCGCAGCAGGGAGGCCGAUCAUGGACACGGGCGGCGAGGACAUCCUCGUCCUCCUGCAAUCCGCGUUCGUCGUCCCCUUCGAGGCCGCCACCGACCGCCUCACUCCCCGGCUCUCGCCUCCCAGGCCUCGGCUGACGGCCUCCGCCCCCAUCUCUUCGUCCCGCUCCGUGACGGGUACGACGCUCCUGACCCGCCCCUUUGCCGAACGCCACCACGAGGCACGAGCAGUGCGCGUCUCAAUUCCCCAGCCCUCCUCGUCAUGAGCAGCAGCGGAGGGAGGAGCACGGCCCCAUGCUGCGGUGCUGGAGUCCGUUGGCAGGAGAAGUCCAGGGGGACGCCGGCGCUGGAUUGGUUUCAUAGUGUGUCUCUGACAUGGUACAUGAGGAGUCCAUCUUGUGUCUAGUACAAUACUCCCUCUGUAAACUAAUAUAAGAGCACUUAGAUUACUAAAAUAGUGAUCUAAACGCUCUUAUAUUAGUUUACGAAGGGAGUAUAUUUGUUGGACCUUCCUCAGGUAGGCGAGAUCAGCUGGAAGACUUGUGUUGGAAAGAUCAUCGGUGCAUUCUACAACUGAUGGAGGAUCUGCUCGUUUAGCAGGAGAUGAGUCGCGUGAUACUGCAGGUGGCGUGGGAGGAGAACAAGCAUCAGAGCUCUUUCUGAGAGAUGUCAUGGAAUUAAGCUUGAAGUGGGGUUCGUUAGGACAGAGGUGGAAGGUGAAAUGGGAGAUAAAUUUCCGAAGAAGGCAGGAUUAAAGCAUGAAGAGCUAAAUGCUCGAGACGCUGCUCACCUUCUAUGAUAAUAUGCUAUCAUGUACUGACAGGGAGUUUAGCAAGUAAGUGCUCAACACUUAAAAAUUCGGUGGGUAGACUUCAUCAUGGGACCUGGUAUGUGGGCCCGUUGGUGGAAGCUCCAGGUAACGGUAAAGGCGCCUCCUCACAUGUUUAUGUCUCAGUGUCAAUGUGUGGAUUCUGCUGAAUUGUUAUUUAUAAUGCUGUCAGGUUGGGGCUCUUGUGCUUCUCGGUGCUAGAAAUUGUGUUGAAGCUGCAGAUUCAACUGCCAUAGUUACUAAUUUAGUCGCGGGUUAUAAAUUUGUACUGAAAUGUUAGUUGGUAUGGUUAAAUUAUGGUUCGAGGGUUAUGCUA